AAGCCAGACUCCUACGGGAGGCAGCAGUGGGGGAUAUUGCACAAUGGGGGGAACCCUGAUGCAGCGACGCCGCGUGGGUGAAGAAGCGCCUCGGCGCGUAAAGCCCUGUCAGCAGGGAAGAAAAUGACGGUACCUGAAGAAGAAGCCCCGGCUAACUACGUGCCAGCAGCCGCGGUAAUACGUAGGGGGCAAGCGUUAUCCGGAUUUACUGGGUGUAAAGGGGGCGCAGACGGCGAUGCAAGCCAGGAGUGAAAGCCCGGGGCCCAGCCCCGGGACUGCUCUUGGAACUGCGUGGCUGGAGUGCAGGAGGGGCAGGCGGAAUUCCUGGUGUAGCGGUGAAAUGCGUAGAUAUUAGGAGGAACACCGGCGGCGAAGGCGGCCUGCUGGACCGUAACUGACGUUGAGGCUCGAAAGCGUGGGGAGCAAACAGGAUUAGAUACCCCAGUAAA
rnacentral:rRNA from 1 species